GGAGCGGUGGUGGAGGAGUUAACACGUCGGCCUGUCAAGCCGAAGAUCGCGGGUGCGAAACCCGUCCGCUCCG
rnacentral:tRNA from 2 species